GCACUGUUGAGGAGUCCCACAAUAGGACGAAAAGAUCGUCCAGUGC
rfam:Schistosoma mansoni, Puerto Rico, WGS project CABG01000000 data, contig: 0232